AGAUUAUUUGAGCAUUUCCAUGUACAAGGCAAAACUGAAAAAGAGGUCAGUACAUGAAGUCGCAAACCCAGGAGGAGGGAACUUUAAGGAAUUGAGGAAGACAUCAUGACUGGUGAGAGCUAGGUCAUUGCUGCAAGUCUCUGGAAAAGUGCAUAUGAUGUUCAAGAUAAACAAGAAUUCUCAGGAUGACCAAGACAUCCACUUGAAGAGGACCAAUGAUAGCAUGGGUGAUGUCUUGACUCG